CUGUCAUUUUAUCCUGCUAUUUAAAAUCAAGCCUCACUGGGGAACAGGCUCUCACUCAGAAUUCCCCUGACCAAGGACAACUGUAUAGGUCGUCUAUAAUACAUACUGUCAGAUUCUCAUCUCUUAGGCUCAUUCAGAAAGAUAAAGCUAGGAAAGCAACCGUAUUCCUCAAAUGCAGGGGGUCUGACCUUCACUUUCCAUGGGGCCUCCUUUUUCUUCUCCCUGAGGUGUUCCUCCAUUGGGUCCUCGGUGGAAUCUAGGAAGACAAAGUAUGACCAUCAGCAGGUGCAAGGGAGGAGCAGGAAGAACAGCUUUCUAGCCCCAGGUCGCCUCAGCAAGUGAACUAGCCCAUCUUGAACAGGGCACAGCACCCAGGGCAGGCUGGGCGUCCCUGCAGCCUCUCAGGGCUCCUGCCUCCUGAUCGGACCCAAGCUCACUUGCCCUCCCUUCCUGCGUCCUUCCAAGGUCAUUUCCUUCCUAGAAUUCACCUUCUGUGUGUAUCUGUCAUCUAGAAUAUUUUAUACUUGGUAAAAAGAAACCUUUGUCUAGGAAGAAUAUUUCAUUCUAGCCAAAAUAUUCUAUAUAUUCACUAAUCUUUUGUUUUAAAGACAAUAAAACAAAGCUUUGAAAAUAGUAAGUUAUUCUUUCUUUUAAAGAUAACUCCUACUUAACAACUGCUAUCUGUCCUGGCACUCAGCCUUCUCAAUGCAAUGUGUGUGUGUGGGUCGGGAGUCCGUUGCUGCUCACACGCACAGGGGCUCUGACGCUGGGACAGUCCAUCAUGGGACAGCAGGUGGGGGUGCGGACCCUCCCCAACCCAGCCGUGCGGGGAGAUGGGUGGUAGGCUAACACCCAAGUUGUUCCUUGAGACCAUAUUCGGUGCUGGGUCUUCACUGUGUUUACUCCUCAACUAAAGCAUUUAUUUUUCCUCUUUAUUAUUAUUUUUUUGAUAGACGGUCUCUGUCACCCAAGCUGGACGGUAGUAACUUGAUCUCUGCUCACUGGAACCUGCGCCUUCUGGGCUCAAGUGAUCCUCCCCACUCAACCUCCGAGGUAGCUGGGACUAUAGGUGCACCACCACACACAGCUGAUUAUUUUUAGUAGAUAUGGGUUUUUGCCACGUUGCCUAGGCUGACCUCCACCUCCUGGACUCAAGCCAUCCUCUUGCCUCAGCCUCCUGAAGUGCUAGGUUUAUAGCCGUGAGCCACCCACCUGGCCAACUGGAGCAUUUCUGAGGCUUGUGAUGAUCCUGUUAUUAAACACAAUAGAGCAUGUCCCUGAUUAUUCUCUGCUUUUGACCACGAACUGAGAAAUGACCCCACCACUGCUGCCGAAAGCCUGUGAACCCUCUGUGUGUUUCACAUUAAUGAUCACACCAAAGUCCAUUGGAAAAUGUAACUAUUCCUACCCUGGGUUAGGGAACCUUUGAGACCUCCCUACACCGACAGUGUUUGGGGCCUGUCUAGGCUCUCAUCCUUCCACACACAGACAGAUGCCGGAAUUCCCUGGCAUGACAAGUUAUACCAGGGCUGGCUGGUGAGUGCACAACAGUAGCCCAUUGCAUCAACCCUCCAUCCAUUCCUGAGUUCACAUUCGCCUCUUCCAUUUAGGAGAUCGAGAGCCUGGGAAAUUCAUCUCUGCACCGUCUCUAUCUGAGGAUGAGGAUAUAAAAUUUACCUUCAGCUGAGAAAUGACACCACCACUGCAGCCAAAAGCCUGUGACUCCCCUAUGUGUGUUUCACAUGAAGGACCACCCCAAAGUCCACUGUGUUUCUACCCUGCCUUUCGCCAUCACUGAGGACAUCUUACAGUGCUGGGCAGUGUUGGGAUCUCUCUAGGCUGUUGUGCCUCCACAUGCACACACAGAUGCUGGAACUCCCUGGUGUGGUGACAGGUUAUACCAGGACCACGUGAGGACUGUGGAACAGCAGCCCAUCACGUCCACCUUUCACCCCUUCCUGAGUUCACAUUUGUCCUUUCCAUUCAGGAAAUUGAGAGCUUGGGAAAUUCAUCUCUCUACCGUCUCCAAUCUGAGGACGGGGGAUGUUAAACUAACCUUCUGGUACAGCUGUGGUGAAGGAUGAAGUGUUGACUGAUGUGGGGAUGGAAUGUUGUUUCUAGAACAUUGAUCCUUGGGUCGUGCUUUGCACAGGGGAACAUGCUUCCUAGAGAAAUGCACACACACUCCCAAAGGCAUUCACCAUCACUCCACACGGACUCUCUUCUCCAAACCUCUCCACCCCGAUGCACCCUAUUCCUAUUUAAAUGACAUCACUGCUUCUGGAAACCACAGUGGAUGGCCACAGUUGUUGACUCAACUCUUCAUUUGUUUUUUUUUUACACCAAACUGACCAAACCUCAUUUCUAGGAAGAAGCUCAAUCCAGGGUGGGUCUCCAGCAAAUGCGGGGAGAAAAGUGUCACCUUUCUCAACCCUAAGAUGUUCCUUAGCAAAGCGAUGACCCCAGAGUACGCACAGCUUGCCCGAAUCGCUGAGUCCCUCUGCAGAGAGAAAGGAAAACACAGUGAGCGUCAGACCAUGCUGUGUCCUGUGUGCACAGGUCUUUUCUUCACUUGGUGACAUUAGAAAACCAAUUAGGAAGUAGUGCUCGAGGCAACUGCCCUCAAAUAAAGCCUAGAAGACUCUUGUGGAAAGGCACAAGGGUUUUGUGUAAGAUUUUUUAAAUGAUUUUGGGUGCCAAGUCUCCACUAUUUUCAAGAACACAUUUCUCCUGAGAUACACUGACAUACACAUUUAUUACAUUGACAUACUUAACUGUUAUCAUUUCUGGGAAGCCGGAUUUGAUAUAAAUUUAUUUUGAAAAACAAGGUUUAUGAAAUUUUGUAAUAAAAUUAAUAAAUACAUUGUUAAGUUUCUAUACACAUCAAAUGUGAACAUCUGUUGUCACGGUUUUAAAUGUCAAAGAAAAGCCUUUGAAAAUUAAUGUAGUGAUAAUACACAUGUCCUGUGUUUGCUAUUAAAGACCAAGAACAAUGCUCAGAUUGAUCCUUAAGUAAUUAAAUUGUGAACUGUGCAA